ACGGAAGGCAGCAGUGGGGAAUAUUGCACAAUGGGGGAAACCCUGAUGCAGCGACGCCGCGUGAGUGAAGAAGUACUUCGGUAUGUAAAGCUCUAUCAGCAGGAAAGAAAAUGACGGUACCUGACUAAGAAGCCCCGGCUAACUACGUGCCAGCAGCCGCGGUAAUACGUAGGGGGCAAGCGUUAUCCGGAUUUACUGGGUGUAAAGGGAGCGUAGACGGCUUUGCAAGUCUGAAGUGAAAGCCCGGGGCUCAACCCCGGAACUGCUUUGGAAACUGUAGAGCUAGAGUGCAGGAGAGGUAAGUGGAAUUCCUAGUGUAGCGGUGAAAUGCGUAGAUAUUAGGAGGAACACCAGUGGCGAAGGCGGCUUACUGGACUGUAACUGACGUUGAGGCUCGAAGGCGUGGGGAGCAAACAGGAUUAGAUACCCUGGUA
rnacentral:rRNA from 1 species